CGGGAGUCGGUUACGCACGAGGAAGGAUUAGCACCCUUAUCACGCCCAAAAAUUGGUACCUAGUUGAUUAAUUAGUGUCUUAGUGUCAAGAAUUGAAAACUUGAAAGACUUUAAAAUACAAUCCCUCUUUUUGCAAAAAUACACGAAUGUUAAGGACCUGCUCGCCUUGAAGUAAUAAAAUGUCACAUCUAGUAAGUUAGGACACGACAUCUCGAGC
rnacentral:lncRNA from 1 species